rnacentral:rRNA from 1 species
GAUGAACGCUGGCGGCGUGCCUAAUACAUGCAAGUCGAGCGAACAGACGAGGAGCUUGCUCCUCUGACGUUAGCGGCGGACGGGUGAGUAACACGUGGAUAACCUACCUAUAAGACUGGGAUAACUUCGGGAAACCGGAGCUAAUACCGGAUAAUAUAUUGAACCGCAUGGUUCAAUAGUGAAAGACGGUUUUGCUGUCACUUAUAGAUGGAUCCGCGCCGCAUUAGCUAGUUGGUAAGGUAACGGCUUACCAAGGCAACGAUGCGUAGCCGACCUGAGAGGGUGAUCGGCCACACUGGAACUGAGACACGGUCCAGACUCCUAAGGGAGGCCGCAGUAGGGAAUCUUCCGCAAUGGGCGAAAGCCUGACGGAGCAACGCCGCGUGAGUGAUGAAGGUCUUCGGAUCGUAAAACUCUGUUAUUAGGGAAGAACAAAUGUGUAAGUAACUAUGCACGUCUUGACGGUACCUAAUCAGAAAGCCACGGCUAACUACGUG